rnacentral:rRNA from 1 species
AACGAACGCUGGCGGCGUGGAUUAGGCAUGCAAGUCGAACGCGAAAGGGGAGCAAUCCCCGAGUAGAGUGGCGAACGGGUGAGUAACGCGUGAAGAACCUGCCUUCAACAGGGGGAUAACACUCCCAACGGGGUGCUAAUACCGCAUGAGACCACGGAUCUGCAUGGAUCUGAGGUCAAAGGUGGCCUCUGCUUGCAAGCUACCGGUUGAAGAUGGCUUCGCGUCCCAUUAGCUAGUUGGCGGUGUAAAAGACCACCAAGGCGACGAUGGGUAGCUGGUCUGAGAGGAUGGUCAGCCACACUGGGACUGAGAUACGGCCCAGACUCCUACGGGAGGCAGCAGUCGAGAGGCUUCGGCAAUGGGGGAAACCCUGACCGAGCGACGCCGCGUGGAGGAUGAAGGCCCCUGGGUUGUAAACUCCUUUUGCUGGGGAAGAAAUGCGAUCAGGUGAACAAUCUGGUCGUUUGACGGUACCCGGCGAAUAAGCUCCGGCUAACUCCGUGCCAGCAGCCGCGGUAACACGGGGGGAGCAAGCGUUGUUCGGAAUCACUGGGCGUAAAGGGCGUGUAGGCGGUCAAGUAAGUGGGAUGUGAAAUCCCUCGGCUCACCCGAGGACCUGCAUCCCAAACUGCUUGGCUUGAGUAUGGGAGAGGAUGAGGGAAUUCCUGGUGUAGCGGUGAAAUGCGUAGAUAUCAGGAGGAACACCGGUGGCGAAAGCGCUCAUCUGGCCCAAUACUGACGCUGAGGCGCGAAAGCUAGGGGAGCAAACGGGAUUAGAUACCCCGGUAGUCCUAGCCGUAAACGGUGAUCACUAGGUGUUGGAGGCAUCGACCCCUCCAGUGCCGCAGCUAACGCAUUAAGUGAUCCGCCUGGGGAGUACGGCCGCAAGGUUG